GCGUGGUUGGUCCAAUGGAAAGACGGCUCCCUGCCACGGAGCAGACUCGGGUUCGAUUCCCGAAUCGCGCA
rnacentral:tRNA from 1 species